GACGAACGCUGGCGGCGUGCUUAACACAUGCAAGUCGAACGGUAAGGCCCUUCGGGGUACACGAGUGGCGAACGGGUGAGUAACACGUGGGUGAUCUGCCCUGCACUUCGGGAUAAGCCUGGGAAACUGGGUCUAAUACCGGAUAGGACCACUGCCUGCAUGGGUGGUGGUGGAAAGCUUUUGCGGUGUGGGAUGGGCCCGCGGCCUAUCAGCUUGUUGGUGGGGGGAUGGCCUACCAAGGCGACGAGGGGUAGCCGGCCUGAGAGGGUGACCGGCCACACUGGGACUGAGAUACGGCCCAGACUCCUACGGGAGGCAGCAGUGGGGAAUAUUGCACAAUGGGCGCAAGCCUGAUGCAGCGACGCCGCGUGAGGGAUGACGGCCUUCGGGUUGUAAACCUCUUUCAGCACCGACGAAGCGCAAGUGACGGUAGGUGCAGAAGAAGGACCGGCCAACUACGUGCCAGCCGCCGUAACAC
rnacentral:rRNA from 1 species